UUUUAUUCGAGAGUUUGAUCCUGGCUCAGGAUGAACGCUGGCGGCGUGCUUAACACAUGCAAGUCGAACGAGGUACAAGGACGGAAGUUUUCGGACGGAAGACCUUGUACUGAGUGGCGGACGGGUGAGUAACGCGUGGGAAACCUGCCCUGUUCCGGGGGAUACCAGUUGGAAACGACUGUUAAUACCGCAUAAGCGCACAGCACCGCAUGGUGCAGUGUGAAAAACUCCGGUGGAACAGGAUGGUCCCGCGUCUGAUUAGGCAGUUGGCAGGGUAACGGCCUACCAAACCGACGAUCAGUAGCCGGCCUGAGAGGGUGAACGGCCACAUUGGGACUGAGACACGGCCCAAACUCCUACGGGAGGCAGCAGUGGGGAAUAUUGCACAAUGGGGGAAACCCUGAUGCAGCGACGCCGCGUGAGUGA
rnacentral:rRNA from 1 species